GCAGAAUUGGAUUCUCUCCCAGCUGUCACUCACUAGUCUGCAAUCAUUAGCGAGUUAGUUAACAUUCCUGGGCCUCGGUCUUCUCUGAGUAAAAUAAGGACAGUGACAUCUCCAUUGCCCAGACUGUGAGCUUUCCUUGGCAGAGAGGCCCAAAAUUAGUUCUUGCCCGAUAACUUAGACAGUGUUUGCUGGUCACAAAGUUUAGCAUUUAUUUUUCUGUGUGUUCAUGGUGUGCUCCCGUUUGGAUAUCAAGAAGACAAAACCUUCUCUUCUACUCCAGGAAGAAAACUAGAAGCGCAGCACAUUUCUCCGGAGAGAAAACGCUCUGGACUGGAAUUAACACCACGUGCGUGGUCCCCUAGUCGAGGCUGUGGCCGUGCAGGCCGUGUUGCUGCUGCAUGGUGGCUUCAACAGGACUGGCGAGGGAGGGGAGCAGCUUUAUAAGACUAGUAUUCACAGC
rnacentral:lncRNA from 1 species